GAUGAACGCUGGCGGCGUGCCUAAUACAUGCAAGUCGAGCGAACAGAUGAGGAGCUUGCUCCUCUGACGUUAGCGGCGGACGGGUGAGUAACACGAGGAUAACCUACCUAUAAGACUGGGAUAACUUCGGGAAACCGGAGCUAAUACCGGAUAAUAUAUUGAACCGCAUGGUUCAAUAGUGAAAGACGGUUUUGCUGUCACUUAUAGAUGGAUCCGCGCCGCAUUAGCUAGUUGGUAAGGUAACGGCUUACCAAGGCAACGAUGCGUAGCCGACCUGAGAGGGGGAUGGGCCACACUGGAACUGAGACACGGUCCAGACUCCUACGGGAGGCAGCAGUAGGGACUCUUCCGCAAUGGGCGAAAGCUUGACGGAGCAACGCCGCGUGAGUGAUGAAGGUCUUCGGAUCGUAUAACUCUGUUAUUAGGGAAGAACAAAUGUGUAAGUAACUAUGCACGUCUUGACGGUACCUAAUCAGAAAGCCACGGCUAACUACGUG
rnacentral:rRNA from 1 species